UACGAAGGGGGGCUAGCGUUGCUCGGAAUUACUGGGCGUAAAGGGCGCGUAGGCGGAUCGUUAAGUCAGAGGUGAAAGCCCAGGGGCUCAACCCUGGAAUUGCCUUUGAUACUGGCGAUCUUGAGUACGGGAGAGGUGUGUGGAACUCCGAGUGUAGAGGUGAAAUUCGUAGAUAUUCGGAAGAACACCAGUGGCGAAGGCGACACACUGGCCCGUUACUGACGCUGAGGCGCGAAAGCGUGGGGAGCAAACGGG
rnacentral:rRNA from 1 species